AUCAAACCUUUGGGGCUCUGCUGUACUGCAAUCAAACAGUGAACCACACUUUGACCAGAACAGGAAACUGAUAAAAACCUGAAGGAGCUCCUCAGCCUCACACACGAUCCAGACAAACACAAUGUGCAAGUACAGCUGUUUGUCUGUCCGCUCACCUGCGGGUGAGUUGGGGAUUAUCAAAUUAAACAACUCCAAAAAGCAGCAGAAGACCGUGAAAGACCUGAAGAUGAAAGCAGCGCAACUGUUUCCCAAGAAAGGAUAUCUUAUGGCUGAAUUCCAGCUGAUUGUCGCAGGGAAGCCGCUGGACAAUGACUCUGCAUCUCUGUCUGAAUAUGGGAUCAAACCCUUGUCUGUGGUGCAGAUGGUGGCGAGGGUCCAUGGAGGCUGACAGAUAUCAUCAUCGAUGCACAGCAGGACUGAAAUAUGAUGCAACAAAGGACAACAUGCGUCAUCUUUGCUAGCUGGGACUGAACUGUGUCAUCUGUGGGUCUUCCUUUAGAUUUUAAGACUUUUAUCAUACCUGUUUAGAGUUCAGUACUAACUAUCAAAGAUUGUAAAUGAUAAUUAAUUAGUGUGUAAAUAAGUAUUCCCAAGAAAGUUAUAUUGAUGUCAUUUGUUUAUUUUUCCAGCUAUUUUUUAAAAAAUCUUUUAGAGUAGCUUUCCUUGUUUCACAGUUCAAAACAAUCUUACACUUGGCCUUAGAUCAGCACCAUGCACGCCAUUCUCUGUCUGAAACAAUCUGUUGUAGUUGGCUUCCAGUUGAACAGAGUUGCAUCCUCUCCAUUCACUUCAGUUUACUGUUUUUCUCAGCAAUGUUAGAUUCUGGGAAUGCAAAGAGAAAACUGAUGUAUCUAUAAUGCAGGAUAAUGUUUGCAAUAAAAAAAAACUCAGGAAAAGCCACAAAUAUAAAAUUAUUUUCUCUUGAUACCAUUCCAUCCAACGUUGUUAAACUGGAGAAAGGCAUGUGAUUUUCCAGUUUAGUGAAAUGAUCCAAAUCUAUUGGGACCUUGACUGUGUAUUAUAAAAUGAACUUUACAAUUACUAAAGAUAUAUGUUUAGAUAUAUAUCGUCAUUAAUACAGGUUUAGAGAGCAUAAGAUUUCUAGUAAAUAGCGCAUGUUUAGGCUUUCUGAUUUGAAUGAUUAUUGUCUAUAUCAUGUAUCACGUUGCAUCUCAGCUGCUUUUAAAAGGGAGAGGGAAGCUGGGGGAGUAAAAUCAUAUUAAAAACAUGAAGUAUAUUUUAAUUGUUUCAGUUAUUUGGUGGGAAAAUAAAAAAGUUACAUGCGAAACUAUA